UUGGUUUGGACGAUGCCAAUAUUUUUGCAGGUCAAGACCUGUUUUCGUGAUCUUGCCGUGUCAAUCGCUUUCAUCUGUCGGUUAACAGAAUUCCACUCCAGCAGCGAUUUUUACGCGGAAAUCUAAAACAUAAAUGAAGAGAAAAUACAGACGAGAUUGCCGCUUGUUCUCAAAACAGUUUUCCACUGCAACUCCUAUUAGUACUUCAAAUCCUACUCCAACUAGGACUUUAUCCUUGGUUCUUUACUAUAAAUAGAUAUGCUCUGCCUGCCUCUCAUUCGCAUACAGCAUGCAUCAUCAACAUUGAGAACAUCUUCCUUAGUGAAUAGUGAUUACGAGAUGCAACUGGGUCUAAGAAGAAAGAUGCAGCCGAAGAUGCAACUGGGCAACAAGCAAAGUGGGGCUUGAAGCACGAAGCUGCAGACAAGGCAGAAGCCAAAAAACAUGAGCAGCAUUGUGAUUACCUCCCUUCAACUGUAAAUUACUAAGAAGACCAGGCGCAAUCUACCUUCCGGUAGUUGAACAUCAUAUUAUUGUAUGGGUUACCUCUUACGUUAGCCUGGUGGACUAAUAACAGCAUAGGUGGUUUAGACCUCUUGGUUUCAAGCUGGAAAAUUCAAGUGAUUUGGCCUUUUGUUGGGUUGUUUAAAUUUUCUCUCUCCAGUUGCUGAUCUGUUUUGCUACUUGUUAGUUUCUGUAUUAAGUCGAUCUGUGGAUUUGUCAGAUUCUCAAACACCACUCCUUGAAUUAUAAAUGUCUUGUGAAAUUGCUUAUCUGACAUAAAUAUCUUGAAUUAGUAUAAUAAUUCUUCUUUAACUGAGCCAUAGGUCAUCUUAAAGAAUUUUGUUUUAGCGAUGAGGAAAAACAAUUCAUUUUGAACUUCUUUAUUUAAAGUUUAAAUGCUCCAAAACAAGACUUGAUAUAUCAGCACUAUUACACUAAUAUCUUAUCAGAAUUCCAAAGUAUGAUUGAGGAAGAGUAGUAAUAGGAUAGAUGACCUCUUGAAAAUUCCUCCUUGUAUGGUGAAGAUUUAGGAUCGAUUAAAACCUUCACCUCGGUUGGGGGAUUUUGAGGAUAGGGAAUGGGCCAUUCCCUAUAGCUGUGUAGCCCCAACAAUUGGGCCACUCUCUCUUUUUCUUCCUUAUUUGAAACUCUUGUUUUCCCUGUUUAUGCCCUUUUUGACAAAAUUCAACCCAACCUGGCCCAAACUGCAUUCCUGCUGCUAGACAUACAAGCAUCCAACUCUAACAUAGGAGAUAAGAGGAAUGACAAUUCCUCGUGUAGAAAAUUUGGACAAAUGGACCAAAUAAUUUGAAUUUGAUAGCUUGAAACCAAGGUUCUAAACCACCAAUGCUGUGAUUAUUUUGCCAAACUAAUGUAAGAGGUUACUUAUACAAUGAGAUAAUGUUCAACUACUGAAAAAUUUACUUUUACCUGGUCUUGCUUAUGUAAUCACCUCCACCCCAACUGUAUUUGGUAAAUUGGUUUAUCUACUUGAACUAGUUUAUUUUGUUUCUCAACAAAUUGUUGUUUUGUAUUGUUUUUUCUUUCAUGGGGUUGGGUUGAGUGUCUUAGGGAGAGUUUUAUGUACUUGGGUUUCAGGGGCAAGGCGGGCUAUGUCCUCCCCUGUUUUCUAUCUGAUUUAUUAAUAAAAUUUUAAGGUGGCCACCCCUCCACCUGGAAUAAAUUUUGGGGUU